UUAAAUGUGUGGCAUUCGCGUCAUAUGGUACGGUUUUUCACUGGUAGUUGUGGUUUCCAGCGUAUAUUUUCUGUCUGCACAAAAUGCAGAGAAUUGUUUCCACAUUGUGGCUUUUGUCUUCACCUUCAGAGAACAAAAUUGUUUAGUAAACUGAGAGCCAAUAUUGGAAAUGGGUUAUUAGAAAUAAUAAUUCUCCAAGAACUGUUCCCCUCCUUACACCGCAACAAAAUUCGCAAAGCAUCAGGAUGAGCAGAAAACGGCAGCAGCCAGCCGUCGUGGACCAACCAACGAUCCAUCACCGAGGUGUCAGCCACCCCUCCUCGUCCAGAAACAACUAUCUAUGACAUUCUUCACGAUGCCACUGCUCAUACUUUCUGUUCUCCUUUUUCGCGUCCUCCCCCCGCCUCCAGCACACCCAUCCUUGGUCUUAUCCACGCAUACCAUUCACUGGGAACGCAUUCACAGGAUGUGUAUUGAGAAGAAUGGCCAUUUUCAAUAACGUAUCACAGUUUGUUGAAGAUUUUGGAGAAAAAUAAAUAAUAAAAAUGAAUACAAGAAGGAUUGACACGUCUGCGGGUCAGGAAUUGAGAUGAAAGAAUAAAGGCUGAGAAAGACUUUGGCUUCCGAAUGGAAGCCUGAUAUUUCACUGAUUUUUUUGGUCUCCAAUUUCAAUUGGGAAUUGAAUGCAGAGAAUUGUUUCCAAAUUGUGGCUUUUGUCUUCACCGUAGUAUUAGGAACAUUUUUAAAAUUUUUUUUUAUCAAUAAUGUCCAAGGAUUCUCCUCGAAAUCUGCUCAUGUCGAGGUAAAGUCUUCGAACUUGAUUUUUUCUAAUGACAGUUUUGGGGUUUGAAACGCGUACAAAUUUUUUAUCGGAUAUUUUCAUUGCUUAGCAGCAAACAGGGAAAUAUCCGAAAAAUAUCCGAAGUAAAACCCUCUUACUUGUACCACGUGACGGGAAAUGCCACCAUUUGAUUCGUUGAAAUUGGGAUGAAAAAAAUAAUCGCAUAUAAUACCCAAGCUUAUUUGUUUGUAGGGAACCUAGGCUUGAGGGAAAUAUCAGAUAAUUUCGAAGUUCGAGUGGUAUUCGGGGGAUUAUUUUUCCCACCCAAAUUUCAGCCAAUAGAAUUGCACCAUUUGUUGAUAUUUUGUAUAGCCUACCUCGAAUAUCAGCGAUUAUUUUUCCCACCCAAAUCUCGGCCAAUAGGAUUGCACCAUUCGACGUUAUUUUGUAUAGCCAACACGGUAUUUCAGCGGAAAUUCUUGGAAAUUUCACUGGAAAUUUUGCAUGUUGAUAUAUAUAAAAAAAAACAAAUGUUGAAGUAACCCUCAAUUGUAUCUGACAGAUUAAAUGGCAAUUCGUUGAAAAUUAUGUCUCAUGGUGCAAUUCUAUCGGCCAAGAUUUGGAUGCAAA